rnacentral:lncRNA from 1 species
UGGAGAAGGGCAGGAGGACGCCCUGGGCCGCGGGACGGGAGCCGAACGUGUCCCCCGGCCCCGCCCCAGGUUGAACUACGCCACCUUCACCCCGUCGCUGAAGCAGCUCUGCAACGAGACGGCGGCGGCCGAGACCCACCUGGUCGGCGACUUCGCCGACCAUUGGUUCGUUGGGACCAGCCUUUGGUUGGUGCCUUCUCAUUGGCCUGUUGUAGACCUGCGUUGGCCAUUGGUGGCCGGAUUGGCCUGUUAAGACCUGAGCUGAGUUGGUCGAGACCGGAUUGGGCCAUUGGGGAGCGGCUUGAUCCGGAUCCAGGCUUGACCAUUGGUGGCCGCCUUGGGGCGGGCCUGGAUUGGCCUCUUCCGGUUGGUGGAGAGGUGUUUGGCCUUCGGUUGCUUCAAUCAAGACAGCGAUUGGCUGGUGGUGGCUGCAUUGGUUUUGGCUUUGGUCGACCUCUCCUAGUUGGGUUCUUCCAGGCUUUGCUCGGCCGUGGUGAUUGGCUCGGCCCAGAGCUCGGCCUCUUCCGAUUGGCCCCUUCAAGACUUGGCUUAUGGUUGCGUUUCCAUCUUCCCGCUUGGGUCCCUGAAGACCUGGAGUGACUGUUGGUGAUUGGCUGGGUGCCGAUCAACCAGGCGUUCUCCGAUUGGCCUGUUCCCCACCGAGGUUGCCCAUUGGUGGAUCAGCCUCUUCCCGUUGGGUUGACGUUGACCGUUGGGAGGUGGUUUGAGCCCGACCCAGUCAAGGCCGAGUUGCCCCCGGUCUCCUCCACCUCCUUCCUCCCAGGGCUCCGCCCACAGGCGUCAGGUGACCCCGACACCCCCCCACCCGGGUCCCCAACUCCUCCCGCCCUCGGGGACCCGGCGGGGACAAGGCUCCGCUGUCACCCUGUCGCUCCGCUGCUUGGGUCCCGCUUUGGUGGGCGGAGUUAAGGUGAYGGGGGGCUUGCCGGAGCCGGGGAGACCCUGGGGGUGGCCAGAGGUGAGGUGAUGGCCGCUGUCCCCCUCGCCCGCUUCCUGCUGUUACGCGAUGUCCCCACGGUGCCACCUUCUCCG